rnacentral:tRNA from 1 species
UGUUCUAUGGCCAAAUUGGUAAAGGCAUUGGCGAAGAUGCGGGUUCGAGUCCCGCUAGAACGG